rnacentral:rRNA from 1 species
ACGAGUAGAGUGGCGCACGGGUGAGUAACGCGUAAGUAAUCUACCCUGGUGUCUGGGAUAACAAUUCGAAAGGAGUGCUAAUACCGGAUACGCUGAUUUAUCAGGAAAGGUGGCCUCUUCAUGAAAGCUACUGCAUUAGGAGGAGCUUGCGUACCAUUAGCUAGUUGGUAGGGUAAUGGCCUACCAAGGCAACGAUGGUUAGCGGGUCUGAGAGGAUGAUCCGCCACACUGGAACUGGAACACGGACCAGACUCCUACGGGAGGCAGCAGUGAGGAAUAUUGCGCAAUGGGGGAAACCCUGACGCAGCGACGCCGCGUGAAUGAUGAAGGCCUUCGGGUCGUAAAAUUCUGUCAGAUGGGAAGAAGUGUUACAUGUUUAAUAUACAUGUAAUUUGACGGUACCAUCAAAGGAAGCACCGGCUAACUCCGUGCCAGCAGCCGCGGUAAUACGGAGGGUGCAAGCGUUGUUCGGAAUUACUGGGCGUAAAGCGCGCGUAGGCGGUUUUAUAAGUCAGAUGUGAAAGUCCAUGGCUCAACCAUGGAAGUGCAUUUGAAACUGUGGAACUUGAGUAUUGGAGGGGGUAGUGGAAUUCCCGGUGUAGAGGUGAAAUUCGUAGAUAUCGGGAGGAAUACCGGUGGCGAAGGCGACUACCUGGCCAAAUACUGACGCUGAGGUGCGAAAGCGUGGGGAGCAAACAGGAUUAGAUACCCUGGUAGUCCACGCCGUAAACGAUGUGAACUAGGUGUUGGGAUGGUUAAUCGUCUCAUUGCCGCAGCUAACGCAUUAAGUUCACCGCCUGGGGAGUACGGUCGCAAGAUUAAAACUC